AACGAACGCUGGCGGCAUGCCUAACACAUGCAAGUCGAACAAGACCUUCGGGUCUAGUGGCGCACGGGUGCGUAACGCGUGGGAACCUGCCCUUAGGUUCGGAAUAACUCCCCGAAAGGGGUGCUAAUACCGGAUAAUGUCUUCGGACCAAAGAUUUAUCGCCUUUGGAUGGGCCCGCGUUGGAUUAGCUAGUUGGUAGGGUAAAAGCCUACCAAGGCGACGAUCCAUGGCUGGUCUGAGAGGAUGAUCAGCCACACUGGGACUGAGACACGGCCCAGACUCCUACGGGAGGCAGCAGUGGGGAAUAUUGGACAAUGGGCGAAAGCCUGAUUCAGCAAUGCCGCGUGAGUGAUGAAGGCCUUAGGGUUGUAAAGCUCUUUUACCCGGGAUGAUAAUGACAGUACCGGGAGAAUAAGCUCCGGCUAACUCCGUG
rnacentral:rRNA from 1 species